rnacentral:sRNA from 1 species
AAUUCAUUUGAAAAGAUUACUCCAUAUAAAGAUCUAAAAUUUAAUUUUUCUCCAUUUUUUGAGCUUAAUUGCCGGCUGAUCCCUUGUUUCUCAAGGAACAAUGCUGAGUCGAAUCCCAUAUCUGUCUACGGUGGUGUGGUGUCUCCUCCAAUGAUGUAGCGGUAGCUCUUAUUUGUCGGUAGAGGUCUCUUUGAGCAUGAUGCUAGUUGAGGACGUUGGUGGUUGUUUGGAGAUCCCCUUGGCUCAACUGAUGAGUUAGAAUAUGCGGUUACAACGAAGAUUGUCGGAGAAACGGUGAGUUUUGUAGUUCUAUUUGGUGGUCAACGACUAAUCCUGUCAUGAGGGACUAUGAGCCAAUAAGCCUCUGGAUCCACCGUAAUGGUUUCUAUCAGACCGGAUUGAUGAGAUUUUGACUCGAAAGUUUCUUAGAUUUUCUGGUGGUGGCUUGAGACGUUAAAUCCCAGUUUAUCAGGUUGCUUAAAAUAAGAUUCCAAAGUAUGAUCAACUCUCCAACAACCGGCUCUACAUUGUUAGAUCCCAUUUUAAGAAACCUGAUAAACUGGGAUCUAACAAUGCAGAGCCGGUUGUUGGAGAGUUGGUCAUACCUUGAAAAGUGUGGCGGGUCUAGUGCAUCGGUGGCGUGAUCGACCGAGGAAAUUUGAAUCUCCUAUCGUAGAUCGCAUGCCUGAGAUGCACAAAGCUGUUCUCUUUGAAUCCGCCAAAAACUAUGUCUGACUCUUUUGCCUUCAGUCAUCACCGAAUUCCGAUUCUCGAGCCGUCGUCGUCAUGAAUUUUUUCUUUUACCUUAUUUGGUAACUGUUGUCUUGAAUAUUGACCCGAAAAUCCAAAUCUGAUUAGAUUUUAAU